UUACCCCUGCUGCAUUGUGCACAUAUCAAGCAGUCGAACGCAAUGUUCAAAGUUCACGCAGUCAUCUUUUACUCCAUUUAAUGACCUUUCAAAGUGCAGCCAACUAUUACCCAAUGGUACAUAUGAUAUAUUAUCCAUGCCAACGUGAAAAUGAAAACAAGAGACUGAUCCUGUGUGUUUUUAGAUACAUUGAGUACCCUGAGUACGACAACAUCCAAGGCACAUCAGGCAUGACAUUGAGAAAAUAAUCAUCAAAUUAUAGAAGCAAAUAGUAAAAUGCCCUUCUGUGAAGAUACCUGCAAGGCUUUUCAUGUGGAGGUCAAAGCACUGUGGUGCCUGCAUUGAGAGCUGUUGAAGUUCAACCUUAGCAUUUCUCAGAGGAGGGAGAGUGUUUGGACAUCUCUUACUGCACAUGAAGCCAUAUGCAAAUUCCCUGCUCAAGGGGACAUUUUCUUCCACAAUAGAAGUCACCAAACUUCAUCCCAAAGGAUAAGUAUUUGCAUAAAAAUGUGGGAUUGGUAUUUGCAUAGUACACAAGUACACAUGGGGAAAUUUUGUUGUCUAUUUAUGCAAAUUAAAAAUGGGUGUUUUUAAAAUGCACUGAUCCAAUCAAUCACAGUUUGUUUUUGUUUUCUUUAAUGUGAUAUAAUUAUUAUAAUAAUGGGCGAUAUAUUUAAACUUUUUUAAAUGCAAGUACCUCCAAGUACAUUUAAAUCUUCAGCAUAUUUUUGAAAAUAAUCCAUGACCAAAUUUAUAAUUUCAAGAUAAAUUGCAUUCAUUAGAAAAUAACUAUAAAUAUGUUUUCAGCAGAACCAGCAACUGGAUUCUUUGGUAAAUGCAGCAUAACACAUCAUGAUAACCCAGUCCGUUAAAAAUCAGGCUGGGAAUUGCAUGCUCCAGCAUGUUCUUCCAGCCUCUGUUCUCACACUUUUAUGGAAGUGCAUUUUCACACACUCAUUUUUUUUUUUUUUCUCCAUAGGGAACAAAGCUUUCCCUGAAUCCCAGUAUUCUCUUUCUAGGCGGGGACAUGCAGUUUCUGCCUGUGGGCUAGAGUUCUUCAUCAACCUGAGCUGUUUUCUUUCUCUGCCUGGCCUGCUUGACCCGUUUCUCUUGCUGCAGUCCCGGAGGAACUGGUUCCUGUUUGUGAACUCCUGUGAGGAGCUGAAGACUUGUGCGUGUGGAAAAAGAAUGAAUCUCAUUCCUGCUGUAACAGACAGCAAAUUCCGUGUCUGUUUAACUCAGCAGGCCUGUUCUGUUACCCUACUUUAAACAAAACGGUUGUCAUUAUUUAUAAUGGAUAUUAAUGCUUAGAUAUGCUUGGUAUUUGUGCCUCUUCCCAACACACAAUGUACAAUUCAGGUGCAGUUUCUGUAAAUGCUUCAGUCUUGUGCUUUAAGUCUUUUAUGGAAUGUUGUUUAUGGAAAAUGUGAGUACUGCUUACCAGUGCAAAAGUUGAGACCACAAUGCUAGGGAGUUCUGGUUAAGCGACAGAUCUAUGUCAAAAUAGCCCAUUCAGUCGGCGCCGAUAGCCUUGUGGGCAGCAAGCCGACAUACAACACUGUUGCGCUACAGGUGUCCCGAGUUUGAAUCCCAACUCAAGGACCUUUCCCUAUCCCGCCCCUAUCUCUCUCCCCCUUCGCUUCCUGUCAGUUUUGAUCUGUCCUAUCCCAGUAAAUGCAAAAAAAUUAAUUAAAUUAAAUGAAGGCUCUAUGAUAUGCUGCCUUCACGUGCUAUUGGAAAUUUCCUAUUUCCCACUUAUGAAGUCGUGAUUACGAGCUUGUCGCAUUCAAGUGCUUUGUUGUUGGAAAGAAUAAAACUUAGCAUCCCAUUGGUUGAUAAUCAUAUAAACAUUCACCGCGCUAGAUAAUUCUGUAAUUUCAGUCAAAUACAUGCUUCUUUCACCGUUUAUAAAACAUACAAUAUGCUUCAAAUGAUCGUUCAUAUAUAGCCUAUAAAUACCCUACUUUAGCGACAAGACAAAGUGAUGUAGUUGUUGUGAGGAUAGCAUUGACAGCAGCAAUGGUUGUCCCCUCCACCAUGUUUAAAGUUUAUGACCCGCCAAACUCCAAAAACUCUAGUAUCAAAAUUAUUUCCGAGUUUCCCAGUAGUAAAUAUGACUUGAGAGGCGUUCACAUCUAAUUUCCGAUUAGGAAACUCGUAUUUAUGAUACUCUGAUAGCACGUGAAGGCAGCAAUAUUCUGGUCCUUUAAUAUGGUUCUGUCCUUCAAUGUCUGUGCGGUUUUUAUAGUCUGACAGGCGACAGUUGUAAAGGUGUGGUUAUAUGAUUGGAUCAUGCAAUGAUUGGAUUUCGAUUGAAUUUUCCAGAUAAAUUGUAAAUGUGACUUUCCCUUGAUAACCUUACAUGAUUUAAUGCAUCAUGUUCAUAGCAAAAACAAAAGAAGUUGAAUAAUAAGGCUUACGGGUUUAGAAGGCUUAGAGGCUUUUUUUAAUAAGUCUCAUUACUCAGAAAUGUUUUAAACUUGCUGAAUUGCACACAUUGUCUAAAGUCGGAGAUUUAAGGUAAGUAUCGCUUACAAAUAGUGAAAUGGAGAAAAGGUACUCAGCACAUUUUGCACUUCUAAUAUCAACAGCAGAUCAAACUGAACAUCAGAAAUUGUUUUUCUUUGUGAAAGUUUCCCUUUGAACAGCCAAAGCUCUACACUCGGUCCAAAAUAUCCAAAAGAGAUGAAAAUACUCAUUUCUGGUUUAAGGUCGGUGCUGUCCAAGUUGCUUACUUCUGAAUCAUUCGCUUUCAUCUGUGUUUCCUGUUUUGAGUGAGGCUAUGUUGCAUUUGCAGGUGGUGGGAAAUCUCACGCUCGCUUCUUUCACACCCACUUUGUGCCCCUCAAAAAACACUGCAGAAGCAAAAACAUCUGCUGCAGUCUGUGGGAGAACAAUGAAUUAAAACUCAAAGCCCAGAGCCCAACACAAAUAUACAAUCUUAGGGGUUUUUUUAGGGUCUUUCCUUUCCUGCUGCUGCAUGAAACUGCUGUCAGCCACUCUGUGUGUGCAGACCGUGAGAGCUGAAAUUAUAUAAAGAGCUUACAUGACUCAAGCUGUGAGAGGGUGCUGUAGAGAAACAAGCAUGGGCUUGAUGGCUGUGCUCUCGUAAGAUCUGAACACCACCUUUUGGACCAUGAUUGUGCCAAUGAUGAAGGCUGAUGAUGCAAACCUCAGUAACAAGGAGUGUCCAAACUUGCUCCUGGAGGACCAAUGUCCUGCAGAGUUUGGCUCCAACACACGUAAAUAAAUUAAAACAUCGGCCAGUAACACACCUGCUCUUUCUGAGUCCAUCAUUUGUGCUGUGCAGUGGGGUAUGUGAAUAAUGGCAGUAAAAAAAUUAACCACAAUUCUUAGCGAAUAAUAAGAAUAAUGGAAAUUGCAUGUAAACAGGAGUGAAGAGCUUUGCUCUUGACAUGUAAACAUCAUAAUGCGAUUAAGUCCUUACUCUGAUUAUUGGAAAUAAUUGCAUUAUUCGUGCACAUGUAAACGUAGUCAGUGUAAGUCGGCAAGACCGCAAGUGCACAUGAAGUGUGCCAUUUGGGACAGGGCCUGAGACUAGUGAAGACCUUGAAUGACGUAGCUCAUUAAGGUGUGUUUAUUUAGGGUUGGAGCUAAACCUUGCAGGACAGUAGCCCUCCAGGAACAAGUUUGGACACACCUUUCAAUAACAGACCGGGGACUGGAGGACUACCUUUCUACAUAGUUCAACACACCUGCCUGUAAUUUUUAAGCAAUCUUGAACACCUUGAUCAGCUGGUUCAGGUGCAUUUGAUAAAACUUUGUAGGAAGUUACACCUACUGUUAUUCCUGCAGUAGAUGAUUUCACACUUGUCAACUUGUUUCUGAAAUCUUGAAAUGGCUUCUUACAUUUGUCACAAACACUUCUUAUAGCAGUGGUUCCCAACCACAUUUCUGGAGCCGCACCAACACUGCACAUUUUGCAUCCCUCUGAAACUCCCCUUUUAGAUCUUGGAGUCUCUACUAAUGAGCCGAUGACAUGAAUCAGGUGUGUUUGAUUAAGAAGACAUGCAAAAUGUGGAAACCACUGUCCUUUAUAGCCUGUUUACACCUGGUCACUUCAUGCGUUUUCUCUGAUCGGAUAGCUGUCUGAUCAUGAAAAGACCAGGUGUAAAUGCUCUCUGAAACACUUUCGAGAUGCAUUUAAAUCCAAACACUCAAACCACUUCAGGAGGUGGUCUGGGCCGCAUUCCAGACAAAACUGGACAAGUGUAAAUGCAUGUGGUUGUUGAAACCACAUAUGCAAAUUUUACUCUUCCAAAAAUCUUACAAUAAUAAAUGUGUGAGAGCGUUUUAUAGGCUAUAUGGCAUGUAAUAGUCAGAUUUGACGGCGCUAAUGCAACACGCAUCGCCAUGAAUGAGUAGCAGAUUACCUCCUCAGCAAGCCAACACGCAAACUGCCACAAAGGAAACUGACAGUAUGUCGUAGACGCUCAACACAUAAUCAUCUUCAUUAAAAGUAGUCAGACUAACCUAUCUUUCCAGUGCUGAUGCCGUGCUCUCUCCUGUUGUGGUCUUUGAUCUUGAAAUUAGCUGAUAAUGAAAAAAAAUCAAAUAAAAUGCAGUGCAUAUCUGUUGCUUUCGUUGACGUGAACUCCAUCAUAUAGCGCAGGAAUUGAAUACUGGACUUAUAUCUGUUUUGCGAAGACACAUUUAUGUGGCCAAGUGUAAAUGGAAACGUUUUAACAAAUCAGAUAGAAAUCCUAUCAGAGAAAACACAUGAAGUGACCAGGUGUAAAUAGGCCCAUAGAGUUUGCUUGCUGUUUGCAAGUUGAUAUGGCAUCAAAAAUUUUGGACCAAAAUAUAUUUGUUGGGCCAUGGCUUCUCUGCUAAACUUUGACCUGGAAUUCACUUCUAAGGCCAUGAGAGGCGGCCUAAUAAGUCAAGAAGAAAAAUCCAAAUUACUCAUUCUUCCCUGUGCCUGUGAAGAGUUGGUAAGGCUAACUCAGCAGGGAGUUGAGAUGUUGGGCAUUUAACUUCUGACAAACACUUUUGUGUGCAUCAACUCCCUUCAUUUUUCAAAUGCUUAUGUAAAUUAGGCAAAUGGGAAAAAUGGUUAGUGAGCUGCUGAAGAUCUGAGAGUGUUUGUGAUUAACCAGCCCUGCUGAAUGUUUAACCUCUGAUUUAACAGCUUCCAUUGGACCGGCAUCAUUGUCACCUAAACCUGAUUCCUACCCUCCAGCCCUGGAUUUAAUUUCUGGUGUCUCAUCCACAAGAAGAUGAUUUAGGAUCCAAAUGAACCUAUUUAUGACCUUAGUCAUAGUGUCACCCAUAAACAGGUUUGAGGGUAAGUCAGAAGCUUACUUUAUCUCACUUAAGCACUGAAAUUUGAGUUAACCCGAUGAGAGUUAAUAUUCUUUUAACUGUGACCUAGUUUGCCUUGAGAGUUUGUGUAGCGGCCCGUCCACCUGAAUGCAUGUAUCCUGACAAGACCCACUCUUUUUAGCCUGCUAGAAAUGUAAAUCUCCGCAACAUUGCUUUUCAGUUACUAAUAAUCUCCACAUGAGCCCUGCUUCACAACACAGCUUGAUUUGAGGCAGCAAUAUCUCAUUUCAUUUCUCCUCAGAGUCAGCUUUGAUGCGGCAGCAAUGUCCUUAGUUGACUCUUAAAGUCUCGAGAAGGACAGCAUGUGUACUUAUUAAAAACCUGAUGGGUUUCUAAUGGGAAUCUGAUCUGAUGCAUGCAUUUCAGGACAUAGAUCUUCCUGCAAGACUAACCUUCAGCUUCCAUCACCAUGAUGACCUAAUGUCCAAUGGCUGCAAUGUCUGAUACACUCUAUCAGAUUUGGUUGGCAUACAUCUUCAGGAUGGGUCAUAAACUUGGCCAGAAUCACGUCUUGGCUGCUAGUUUGGGUGGAGGUGGAAAGAAGCGCUACUGCC